UUUCAUCAGUGCUGGCUUUCAAUAUGAUGUCUCCACAGUUCUUCUUGGGGGCUUCCCUCUUUGCUUUGCUGAUUGUGGACAUAUGCUGUGUUCCUGUUAAGGGAGGCUUUAAUCCCCAUGAUUCCCGUGGCAGUAGUUACUCAAAUGCUGCUCCUAGUUUUGGAUCCAACUAUGGACCACCUUC